AUUGAACGCUGGCGGCAUGCCUUACACAUGCAAGUCGAACGGUAACAGGUUAAGCUGACGAGUGGCGAACGGGUGAGUAAUGUAUCGGAACGUGCCCAGUCGUGGGGGAUAACUGCUCGAAAGAGCAGCUAAUACCGCAUACGACCUGAGGGUGAAAGCGGGGGAUCGCAAGACCUCGCGCGAUUGGAGCGGCCGAUAUCAGAUUAGGUAGUUGGUGAGGUAAAGGCUCACCAAGCCGACGAUCUGUAGCUGGUCUGAGAGGACGACCAGCCACACUGGGACUGAGACACGGCCCAGACUCCUACGGGAGGCAGCAGUGGGGAAUUUUGGACAAUGGGCGCAAGCCUGAUCCAGCAAUGCCGCGUGCGGGAAGAAGGCCUUCGGGUUGUAAACCGCUUUUGUCAGGGAAGAAAAGGUUCUGGCUAAUACCUGGGACUCAUGACGGUACCUGAAGAAUAAGCACCGGCUAACUACGUG
rnacentral:rRNA from 1 species